GUGCUGCAUGGUUGUCGUCAGCUCGUGCCGUGAGGUGUCGGCUUAAGUGCCAUAACGAGCGCAACCCCCACCGACAGUUGCUAACUGGUUAAGCAGAGGACUCUGUCGGGACUGCCGGCGCAAGCUGUGAGGAAGGCGGGGAUGACGUCAAAUCAGCACGGCCCUUACGUCCGGGGCGACACACGUGUUACAAUGGCAGGUACAGCGGGAAGCGACC
rnacentral:rRNA from 1 species